CAACAUAGAGACGAGUGUUUGCGCUUGCAGGAGGCAGACUAUUUUUUUUUUCCUGACACCGCCUCGCUUCCCACUCGCCUCGCCAGCGGGAGGGGCGUGCGUGUUCGUGGAGGUUCGCUUUGAUAGCGCCGCCGCCGAUUCCCUCGCUCUCCCUCGGAUCCCCAGCGAUCGCUCUUUAGUUAUUAUUCCAUUGCUAAACCGAGGAGUCCGACUGCCACAACCCGCCUAAUUCUUUUAUUCCUCUUCGCUUUCUUUUUAUUUUUUAUUUUUAAAUUGUGUUAAUCUUCUAUCUUCCUCACCGCACACUUUCCUCUCUGGCAGCUUCAGCGUCAGAGAGUUGCAGUUCAUUCGUGGCCUUUUAUGGAAUAAGAGGACUGUUCUUGAUCGUGACCGGCAGGAGCGGAAAGCGAAGACUCCUUAAGAUUCCCAGAGAGGUCCGAGCUGGCUGCAUUUAGUUGUCCAGAAAGUGGAUAUUGCUUUUACUGCUUUCAUUUUGGUGAGUUUU